rnacentral:lncRNA from 1 species
GAAGAUGAAGAGGAGGUCGAGGUGAACUCGAUUAUGUGCUCACCAUGGUUGGGGACUGGCGGCUCCGGACAAAAUUCGGCCCAGCGGUGGCGGAAGACAGCAACCGGCCCGGUGAUGCGGUGCGGGCGGAGCUCCGGAGGCGAGAUGGCGACGAGGAACGAACGGGCUCGGCUUGGAAAGGGGAAACCGCAGGUGCUGUCGGCUUGGCUGGGGGAAGGGGGGCUCCAGGCCGGUGAAUUGAGUCGGCACCGCUGCAGCGCGCUUGGCUCCGACAAGCGGCCGCGGAAGGCCACAGCGUAGCGCGGAGGUGGAGGGGAGCAAUAGGGGAUGCGGGGGCUCGGGGUGCGGCGAUAUAUAGGGCAUGGGGUGCAAGGUUGGCUUGGCGCGCAAGCCAAGGACAGCCGCCGGCGCCGGGGUGCUAUGCCACGGGAGCUGCUGGGUCGGUUGGGCCUGGGUUGGGCCUUGCGAGCUCGGUCCGAAAGGAAGAAGGGGUCUAGGCUGGUUAGGAAAGAAGGUUGGGUUGGGUCACAGAUGGGCUGGGCCCAAAAAAAAGAUAGGUUUUGAUUUUCAUUUCUCUUUAUUUUCAGAAGUAAUUUCCGGUGUAAACAAAAUCUAGAUAAUUCAUUUAAAUCCAAAAAUUCUAGGAAAAUUCCUAGAAAUAAUAUGGGACACGAGGAAUCCAAAUAAAGUACUUGGAGCUCAUUAAAAAGAUUUU